rnacentral:rRNA from 1 species
CUACGGGACGCUCCAGUGGGGAAUCUUGGACAAUGGGGGGAACCCUGAUCCAGCGAUGCCGCGUGUGUGAAGAAGGCCUAUGGGUUGUAAAGCACUUUAGGUAAGGAAGAGAGGUAGUUAUUGAAUAGGUAGCUAUUGAGACAUUACUUACAGAAUAAGCACCGGCUAACUCUGUGCCAGCAGCCGCGGUAAUACAGAGGGUGCAAGCGUUAAUCGGAAUGAUUGGGCGUAAAGGGCGCGUAGGCGGUUAUAAUUAAGUUGGAUGUGAAAUACUUAGGCUCAACCUAAGAGUGGCAACCAAGACUGAGUAACUAGAGUACAGAAGAGGACAGAGGAAUUUCCAGUGUAGCGGUGAAAUGCGUAGAUAUUGGAAGGAACACCAGAGGCGAAGGCGACUGUCUGGUCUGAAACUGACGCUGAGGCGCGAAAGCAUGGGUAGCGAACAGGAUUAGAUACCCCGGUAGUC